rnacentral:rRNA from 1 species
GAUGAACGCUGGCGGCGUGCCCAAUACAUGCAAGUCGAGCGAACAGAUGAGGAGCUUGCUCCUCUGACGUUAGCGGCGGACGGGUGAGUAACACGUGGAUAACCUACCUAUAAGACUGGGAUAACUUCGGGAAGCCGGAGCUAAUACCGGAUAAUAUAUUGAACCGCAUGGUUCAAUAGUGAAAGACGGUUUUGCUGUCACUUAUAGAUGGAUCCGCGCCGCAUUAGCUAGUUGGUAAGGUAACGGCUUACCAAGGCAACGAUGCGUAGCCGACCUGAGAGGGUGAUCGGCCACACUGGAACUGAGACACGGUCCAGACUCCUACGGGAGGCAGCAGUAGGGAAUCUUCCGCAAUGGGCGAAAGCCUGACGGAGCAACGCCGCGUGAGUGAUGAAGGUCUUCGGAUCGUAAAACUCUGUUAUUAGGGAAGAACAAAUGUGUAAGUAACUAUGCACGUCUUGACGGUACCUAAUCAGAAAGCCACGGCUAACUACGUG